GGAUGUGAGGAUGAUAUGGCUGUGACAUCUGUCACCCCACUGAUCGCCGGGGUUGAUUUGGCUGAUCUGGCUGGCUAGGCGGGUGUCCCCCUCCUCCCUCACUGCUCCAUGUGAGUCCCUCCUGAAGCUGCGCAGUCGAGGGUAUAAGAGUAGCUGCGCUCCUCUGCUAGAACCUCCAAACAAGCUCUCAAGGUCCAAAAGCAGAUGAGUGGCUAAAAAAUUGUGGUGUAUAUAUACACAAUGGAAUACUAUUCAGCUAU
rnacentral:snRNA from 1 species